rnacentral:rRNA from 1 species
UAGCAGAGGUCUCAAGCGUUGUUCGGAUUCAUUGGGCGUAAAGGGUGCGUAGGUGGCGCGCUAAGUCAGGUGUGAAAUUUCGGAGCUUAACUCCGAAACUGCAUUUGAUACUGGCGUGCUUGAGGACGUGGAGAGGAGACUGGAAGUUCAAUGGUGUAGCAGUGAAAUGCGUAGAGAUCAUGAGGAAGACCAGUGGCGAAGGCGGGUCUCUGGACAGUUCCUGGACACUGAGGCACGAAGGCCAGGGGAGCAAACGGG